GCUGGGCGUGGUGGUGCGCGCCUGUAAUCCCAGCUACUCAGGAGGCUGAGGCAGGAGAAUUGCUUGAACCCGGGAGGCAGAGGUUGCAGUGAGCUGAGAUCAUGCCAUUGCACUCCAGCCUGGGUGACAGAGCUAGACUCCGUCUCAA
rfam:Homo sapiens chromosome 12, GRCh38 reference primary assembly.